GCCCGGGUCGCAUAGUGGUAUUGCACGGGACUGCUAAUCCCGGCCCUUCGGGGCUCCUGGGUUCGAAUCCCAGCCCGGGCG
rnacentral:tRNA from 1 species